UACGUAGGGUCCGAGCGUUGUCCGGAAUUACUGGGCGUAAAGAGCUCGUAGGUGGUUUGUCGCGUUGUUCGUGAAAACUCACAGCUUAACUGUGGGCGUGCGGGCGAUACGGGCAGACUUGAGUACUGCAGGGGAGACUGGAAUUCCUGGUGUAGCGGUGGAAUGCGCAGAUAUCAGGAGGAACACCGGUGGCGAAGGCGGCUUUCUGGACGGUAACUGACGCUGAGACGCGAAAGCGUGGGGAGCAAACAGG
rnacentral:rRNA from 1 species